UUCCUUCCCUUUUCUCUUGGAUUUCUUCCCUUGCUGCUGCUGCACCAUCAAUCAUGGGAUUCAUGGCAACUUUUUUUUUUUCUUUUUAUGAUCCUAUGAUUUCGUGCUCGUUGAACUUGAGACGUAGGGCACAACAGAUUUGCUAGGUUUUCAAAGGACAUCUGUGACUCAUGUUGGGAGUUUUUGCCAAUUCUAUAGAUCCUUGUCGUGGCAAUAUAUCAUCUCAUCUGAUUUCCCUAUGCAUCUUCGCUAUGCUCAUAGGAGAACGAAGAAGGAAAGAUGUCCUAUGUUUUGCAUGGUACCAGUGGCUAUGGGUCCCUGAAUUCUGCAUGUUCAGGAUUUUAAUGCCCCCUUCCUCAAUCUCAAACUAACGGGCUUAGAUUUGCAUGUUAGAAUCCUUUAUAUUUUUUUUGGUUUUUCCUCUGAUUAGCUGACCCUUUUAGGUUGGAUUAUUGCGUGAGAUAUUUCUCUUGCCGGGCUCAAGUUGUUCAGCCUAAAUUUUUCUUGUUAUACAAUAAAUAAUCUGAAAACAUGGCCAAAAUUAUGGUUUUCUUCUAUAACACUUACGAGGUGCAAGCAUAGGCUCUAGUGAGUAAAUUUUAAAAUUAAUGAAAAAUUUAAAAUAAGAAAGUGAGCUAAAGAGAAUCAACACGUUUCAUAUGGAAAAUCACAAACAUUUAAAAUUCUUAGCAAUUUUCAAAUGGAUUGAGUUUUUUAUGGGGACUAACUUUCUAGAGCUAAUUAGUUUGACAUAUGAGAUGGUUUUCUAUCUAAGCAAGAAGGUAUGAGAAUAAAGUUGCAAAGAAGUCAUUUUUACUUAUUCGUCAAAUAUAGAUUCUUAAUUAAAGUUAUUUCCAAGUUGUGUACUACCAUACUUUUCUGAAUAUUGCAUUUGGAUUAUUCAUAUGUUUGAAAUCACAGCGGUAAUUGUUGGAUCAAUGAAGCUAGUUGUGUUAGUAAGCAAGAAAACAUGAUAAACAUAAACUCAAAGCACAAAUACAAACAAGCACAUUUGGUAUGUAUGCCCAAUUUCUACUCUACAACUUAUGAUCCUUUAGUGGGUCACUCCUGGAAUCUCUCUAUACUUUCUCCUACUUGGAUACCUUUUGGAGGUGGAGAAACCUCUUCCAACCUUGCUUACAAUAAAGAGGAACAAAAUAAGAUAAAAAUAAUAAAUUUAACAAUAAGAAAAGCUUACAUGAUUGAAGUCGCUCUUUGGCUAGCUUUCACUUAUUGUUGCUUGAGUUUUAUCUCUUUUGAAUGAUCAAGAUCCUCCUUUGUAUAGAGUUUUUGUUGCCAACAAUUAAAAACUCCUCCCACCUUCAAGCCACUUGGCAAUCAACUAUAAAUUGAUCUCGUGAUUUACCUCUCUUCACAUAACCUGAGACAGGCGGUAAGGGGUGUUUGGGGUGAUUGUAAUUACCUUUCGCUAUAAUUUUGUUGCCAAUAGUUACUUGCUGAAAUUAUUAGUCAACUCGUAAGUUUCCUGAGUUGACUAAUUGCAUUAGUUAAAUUGAGAACCUUCAUAUAGUUGACCAUUUGACUAAUUGAUUCCCUAUCCAAUCGAUUGUUCUGUUAUAACAUUUAAAUCACAUUAUGUUCUUAACAUGUUAUAUUAGUGACUCUAGAUUCUUGUAGUUGUAUUAGUUAACUAAUCUUAACUAUCUAUUGACUAGUCAUACCUCAGUCGUUUGGUUAGUUGAGUGAUCCCUGAAUAGAAACUUUCUAUCUGUUAGUAAUCGAACCUAGGUCGACAACUUGGUCGGCUUAACCAUUUGUUGACUUAAACCUUGAUUUCAGCCAACUUUAAAGUUGAGUCCUUCCUAAGUGAAGUCUAUCCAAACCCUAAGCUCUAAGUCACUUGGAGACUCUCAUCUUUCAUAGGUUCCCUUACCAAGAGUUUCAUUACCUCUGAGCUUAUCUUGCUAAGAGGUUUUACUUCUGGGAUUUCAUUUGCCUAGAGACUAUAUCUCUAAGACCUCCAUAUCUGCCUAGCAUUGGCCAAACUUACCUACGAGGACUUUCUUAGGCCUCUAAAACUUUAUUAUUUUUUUCCUAGUGUUAGUCAACCUUGAUUCACCAAAACUUUUAUUUACCCAGCCUUAUGUCUAUCUUGACCUACGAGGACUUUCACUUGCACUUUAAUCUGCUAGGGGUUCCAUUUGCCUAGCUUUAGGUUCACUUUGACCUAAUAGGACUUCUACUUGCCUAACCUUAGGUCUACCUUGACCUGUUAGAACCUCCACAUCAACCAACUUUGACCCGCCUAACAUCUAGUCAAUUUUGAUCUACUUAAACUUUCUUUAUUUGCUAAGCAUUUGGUCAAUCUUAGCUGCUUGCCUAGACUUUCAUCACAUGUCAAACAUUUAGUCAAUCUUGACCUGCCUCCCUUAUGUACUAAGCAUUUAGUCAAUCUUGACUAGACUUUCAAAUAUCCGAUCAACCUUGAUAUGUUUGUCAACCUUUAUUUGAUUGGACUUCCAUCACUUGCUAAAUACCUAGUUAAGCUAAAUCUUGGCAUGCCUAGUCUUUCUCAAGGCAAACAAAUUCUCGAUGUUCAUAUGCAUGAAGGUCUCCAUUCUUAUCUUUCAAUAGAAGAAGCCUCCUAAUGCAAACGACAGUGGAAACGGAGUGUCAUAGUCAAAUCUAUCUUCAAAUUCCAUUUUGAUUCGAGUGGAUUCUCUACUUCUCUAGCCUUGUUCACUCUUCGCAAUUAGUCCUGAAGAAUGACUCCUUUAGCAACUUGCUUGAUUGAUCAUUAAGGCUUUCAUAGCUUCCUAGCUUAGCUUGUUAGAUUGAUUAAGCCAACUAGAGGAUGGUGGGAGUGGGGUGAAUUAUUGAUUGCUCUUUUUUGACGUUCAAUUCUAUAAUUGUGUUAGGAUGUAACAAAAUAGAUGAAUACAAAUCCAACAUGACUAUUUAUGUGGUUCAAAAUCCCUAGUUCUUAUUUUAUGGUCUAUAAUCCUUUGGUGGAUUACUCCUAGAUUCCCUCUAUACUUUCUCCGUCUUAGGUGCCUCUCGAAGGUUGAAAAAUACAAUUAAGAGCAACAACAAACAACAACCAAGCUUUAUCCUACUAGGUGAGGUCGACUAUAUAAAUCCUUUUACCUAUUGAGUUCUAUCCUCUACUAUAUUAUCAUCUAUAUUUAAAUAAAUAUAUUCAAGAUACAGUACCGUGGUGUAUGUUAUUUGUAGAUAAUAUUGUUUUAGUAGAUGAGACACGUGAAAGAGUAAAUACUAAAUUAGAAUUUUGACAAGAAACACUAGAAGUGAAAGGUUUUAGGUUUAGUAGAGUAAAGACAAAAUAUAUGGAAUUAAGUUUAGCAAUAUUAAACGUAAUGAAAUAAUUGUUAAGAUAGGAGAUGAUAAGUUAUUUUGAACAACUUUAAGUAUUUAAGAUCAUUUUUUUAAAAUGACGGAGGAAUUGAGAGAGAUGCUUUAUAUAGAAUAUAAGUAGGAUGGUUGAAAUGGAGAAGAGCGUCGAUUGUUUUAUGUGAUUGUAAAGUAUCUUUAAAACUUAAAGGAAAGUUCUACAAAACGACAGUUAGACUUGCUAUGCUAUGUAAUUAUGAAUGCAGGGCUAUGACUCAAGCACA